rnacentral:rRNA from 1 species
CCUACGGGUGGCAGCAGUGAGGAAUAUUGGUCAAUGGACGGAAGUCUGAACCAGCCACGCCGCGUGCAGGAUGACGGCUCUCUGAGUUGUAAACUGCUUUUGUACAAGGGUAAACCUGAAUACGUGUAUUCAGCUGAACGUAUUGUACGAUUAAGGCUCGGCUAACACCGCGCCAGCAGCCGCGGUAAUACGGAGGAUCCAAGCGUUAUCCGGAUUUAUUGGGUUUAAAGGGUGCGUAGGCGGAUUGGUAAGUUAGAGGUGAAAAGUCCGGGCUUAACUCGGGGACUGCAUCUGAUACUGUUGAUCUAGAGAGUAGAUGCGGUAGGCGGAAUGCAUGGUGUAGCGGUGAAAUGCUUAGAGAUCAUACAGAACACCGAUUGCGAAGGCAGCUUACCAAUCUAUAUCUGACGUUGAGGCACGAAAGCGUGGGGAGCAAACAGGAUUAGAUACCCCUGUAGUC